rnacentral:rRNA from 1 species
GUACACUCCUACGGGAGGCAGCAGUGGGGAAUUUUGGACAAUGGGCGAAAGCCUGAUCCAGCAAUGCCGCGUGAGUGAAGAAGGCCUUCGGGUUGUAAAGCUCUUUUGUCAGGGAAGAAACGGUGAAAGCUAAUAUCUUUUGCUAAUGACGGUACCUGAAGAAUAAGCACCGGCUAACUACGUGCCAGCAGCCGCGGUAAUACGUAGGGUGCAAGCGUUAAUCGGAAUUACUGGGCGUAAAGCGUGCGCAGGCGGUUUUGUAAGUCUGAUGUGAAAUCCCCGGGCUCAACCUGGGAAUUGCAUUGGAGACUGCAAGGCUAGAAUCUGGCAGAGGGGGGUAGAAUUCCACGUGUAGCAGUGAAAUGCGUAGAUAUGUGGAGGAACACCGAUGGCGAAGGCAGCCCCCUGGGUCAAGAUUGACGCUCAUGCACGAAAGCGUGGGGAGCAAACAGGAUUAGAUACCCUUGUAGUCC